CCUACGGAUGGCAGCAGUGGGGAAUAUUGGACAAUGGGGGCAACCCUGAUCCAGCCAUGCCGCGUGUGUGAAGAAGGCCCUCGGGUUGUAAAGCACUUUCAGUGAGGAAGAACGCCUGGUGGUUAAUACCCAUCAGGAAAGACAUCACUCACAGAAGAAGCACCGGCUAACUCCGUGCCAGCAGCCGCGGUAAUACGGAGGGUGCGAGCGUUAAUCGGAAUUACUGGGCGUAAAGCGCGCGUAGGUGGCUUGAUAAGCCGGUUGUGAAAGCCCCGGGCUCAACCUGGGAACGGCAUCCGGAACUGUCAAGCUAGAGUGCAGGAGAGGAAGGUAGAAUUCCCGGUGUAGCGGUGAAAUGCGUAGAGAUCGGGAGGAAUACCAGUGGCGAAGGCGGCCUUCUGGACUGACACUGACACUGAGGUGCGAAAGCGUGGGUAGCAAACAGGAUUAGAUACCCGUGUAGUC
rnacentral:rRNA from 1 species